rnacentral:rRNA from 1 species
AUUGAACGCUGGCGGCAGGCCUAACACAUGCAAGUCGGGCGGAGGGGCGCACGUGUGAGAAUGUAUGGGAAUCGGCCGUAUGGAGGGGAAUAACUAUGGAAAACGGUAGCUAAUACCGAAUACAUUCGCUUGCACCAGUAUGGGAUUGGCUGGGAGGGGAGGUAACGGCUCACCUAGGCGACGAUCCCUAGCUGGUCUGAGAGGAUGAUCAGCCACACUGGGACUGAGACACGGCCCAGACGCCUACGGGAGGCAGCAGUGGGGAAUAUUGGACAAUGGGCGAAAGCCUGAUCCAGCCAUGCCGCGUGUGUGAAGAAGGUCUUCGGAUUGUAAAGCACUUUAAGUUGGGAGGCGUUACCAACAGAAUAAGCACCGGCUAACUUCGUGCCAGCAGCCGCGGUAAUUC